UUCCUGUCGCUCAGUCAGUAGAGCACUGCUCUAAAAAUGCAAAGAUCAUGGAUUCAAACCCCAGGGAAA